GCAGUGGUGGCUCUGUGGUAGAACUCUCGCCUUUCAUGUGGGAGGCCCAGGUUCUAUUCCUGGGCAAUGCA
rnacentral:tRNA from 1 species